UACGGAGGGGGCUAGCGUUGUUCGGAAUUACUGGGCGUAAAGCGCACGUAGGCGGCUUUGUAAGUUAGAGGUGAAAGCCCGGGGCUCAACUCCGGAAUUGCCUUUAAGACUGCAUCGCUAGAAUUGUGGAGAGGUAAGUGGAAUUCCGAGUGUAGAGGUGAAAUUCGUAGAUAUUCGGAAGAACACCAGUGGCGAAGGCGACUUACUGGACACAUAUUGACGCUGAGG
rnacentral:rRNA from 1 species